rnacentral:misc_RNA from 1 species
AGGAGGUCGAAGGAGGCGACGAGAACAGAGUACAGAAUUGGUGACGUGUAGCCGUUUUUUUGUACGUAAUCUCAUACACUCUCGCCAUUAACGCACACACACAGACACAUACUCCUCCUGCAGCUGAGCUUCUCCACCCUCCCUCUUUCACUUCCGCAUAGGUCGAGCAAGUGGCGCCAUGCCGAGCAGUCUUCCUAGACCGAAGUUCACGGCAGUGGCGGCGCCGUCCGAGACGUGGCGGCGCAACUCUACAAACAGCUUUGCGGCACUCAGCGCAUUUAUAUUUCUUGUCGUCAUCGGUGUACAUUGGACGACGGUGAGCCAUGAGCAUGUAGAGCUACCGAUGGAUCGCGUUCUGGUAGACCUGCAGGCGAGGUGCUCCACUCUGGAAGGCACCCCUGCCUUGACCUCUGCCUCGCUCCCUCCCGCAUUUUACGGGCUGGGUGUUUGGGUGGACUCCCCGGCGUUGCUGCCCAGCGUACAUGCGGCGCUUGCUCUGAUGAAGGAGCGGCUGGCAGACGGCCUGAGCACCGCUGCGGCAGCUGUCCCGCUUCCGACUCACACGCUUUAUACCUUUGUGCGUCUGCAGUCGCAGGUGCGGGAUGAAGUGAUCGCUGCACUCUUCAAGGAAGCACAGAGUGGGCGCUUCCCUAGCGCGAAGCGCGUGUUGCGCAAGCUGGAGCACUUGGCAAACCAACAGCAGCUCGGCUUGCCGACGCUGAAGCAUGCCUUUCUGCCUGAGGUUGGCCAGGAGGCGGAGCUGUUUGGCCUGUCGCUCUUUAGUGUGCCGGCGUCCGCGCUGCCGGGGGAUGCAGCGGGCAAGGUGCAGUGCUUCGUCGCUGACGUGCGGCAAGCGUACUGCAUGCUUCCCGUGGAGGUGCCGGAUGCCUCCGAUGUUGCGUCCUCCGGUAGGACGAGUUUUUCAGCAGCUUCUCUCACACCUUUGUCGUACCGACUGCGGGCCGCUUCACUGGAGGCCGAGGUACGCGCGGCGCUUCUCUCUGUCGUAACACAGCAGAUCGGCUUGGCUUCUUUCAAGCCUGCCGACGUGGCGGCCUGGAAGCGGUCGCGGGAGCAUCAGGGGUGUCUGCACACGAUCGCCUCUGUGACGAGCACGCUGCGCUCCAUUGCGGCAAACACGAACAUGGCCGUCCCACAAAGCACGGAGCGCAUGUUCGCAGUCUUGGAGCGCCACGUGCAAUCCGGCUCCUUCCUGCGAGCCGCGCGUGCCGCCGACGACCUGCAGUUCCACCCAUCGCUCACCCCGCAGCUGUACAUUCCGUGGGACCAUUCGCUCGUCUCGCAGUUGAUUGUGCUGCUGCCGAUGGUGUCCUGCACGCUACUGGCCGCGCGCUCUCUCGUGGAGGAGCGCUGGCACAACCACGCUCGCGCAAAGGCCACCGCCGAGGCACAGGAUGCGAAGAAAGGCCAGUGACAGGACCGUGACUCACUCACAGCUUCGCAGAACAGGAGGCUUUGAACGGAGGAGGAGGAGGCUGUGCGUGCAAGGGGCGCGCGUUUCCCGGGUCGCUACGCGGCGCUGCUGCGCAAUCGCACGGCGACAGCGUGCGCCACGCCGCACCUCUACCUCCGCCACGCGCCUCGUGGAGAGUAGGUAUUUGAUUUCUCAUUCAAACCUUUAGGUGGCAUGCAGUCGACCAGCGCAGCCGCCAUUGGGUGUAGGUGACGCGUGCGCGGGCGUGUGUGUCUGUGCGCGAAAACGAGGCCGCUUAAGCAAAUGAUGUGUAAAGUGCGGAGGGGAAAGUGUACCCGGUGGAGAGGCGAUCGCCCCGCGUGCACAGCCCCUAUCCCUUUUCUUCCCUCACACGCACUUGAGUUUGCGUGUUUAUCUGAUGUGCCGACGCGGGGUGCGGGCGGUCUGCGUCUCCUGAGGAAGACCAAGCCACUUCCGCUUCGUAUUUCUUCGUAUGCAGGGGGAGGGGAGGACAGGAACCGUUGUCUUUGCUUCUCCCCCGCCGGCACGCGCGCGUGCAACCUGUUGAACUGUCUUCGAUAUGGCUCGCGCGCUAUACUUAUUGUAUUCUUUUUUUUUUCGUGUUGCGUAUUUGUGUGUUCGGCCCCGCAUGCGCUGAUGUGACGCCCAUGGCUGCUCGCGGCCACAUCAUUAGCAUGCGUUUUCCAUCCACGAUGACAAC